rnacentral:ncRNA from 1 species
ACGGGAUCUGUCCCGUUGAAAGGAAUGUAGCUCGUUAAAGAGCCGAACCUUAGG